ACUCACCCGCGCUGCUGGCCGAUGGAGACCGACGUUGCCACAUGGCGGCCAUCUUGCGUCGGGCAGCACGCCCACUCAUAACAUGAAUGUCUAUGGUGCAUGUACUAUUGAAAUAACCAUAGCUUGCUCAAUUUUCAACCGAUUUUCAAACGGGUUGGUUUGUUAUAAACGUCAGAGAUGUAGUUAUGAUACUGCAUACUUAUAAUGGACUUUCAUAUGAAAAUAAUAUUAAGCAGAUAGGUAAAGCAAUAGCUAUACACACACACACACACACAGUAUUUAUAUUACACAUUUACCGAGAUAUUUUUUAUAUAUAAAAAAAAAUAUAUAUAUAUAUAAAUAAAUAAAUACAAUUCCAUUUAUUUUAUUAUAUUGUUAAUAUUUAUGUUAUUUUAUAAUACAUUUUAAAAUUUAAAUAUAUUUACAUUUUAUAUAUAAAAAUCUGUCUCAUGUUGCCACUCUGUAAGCUAAGAGUUGUUAAUUUAGCAAUGCCUUAGCUUGAAUGACAGGGACACAACUAAUGACAAUAGCAUAGAUAUUCACACCUUUAUCAGAAGAACCAAACCAACAUAAAAUUAUCUCACAGACAGUAGGUCCUGGCCAGUUCUGUCUCAUUUAUCACAAAUAUUUUGACAUUAAAUCUUCAUAUCGUCCCAUUCCUAACCAAUACCUUCCAUAACCUGAAACUUUCUAGAAACCCAUGAAGGUCUGUGAUUGGUUUUGUAUUUAGGUUCUGGAUUUGGAAACAAAUCCAGAACCUUUGAAAUGCGUUACCACUACACAGCACGGUGCGCUGAGUUCCUGUAGUCGAAAAAAGCCCAAGAACAACUUGGUGUGGUGUGGAGGGGAUGUAGGAAGCAGGGGCAGGUGGGGAGAGAUGGGGCUUCAAGGUUCAAGGUUAUUUUAUUUUGUCUUGGAGACAAGGACCAGCUGCACACAAUACAAUACAGUACAACACAAAACCAAUAAGACACACGGUGCACACACAGUUGGAGCUAAUGCCCUUUGAAAAGGACUGCUUUGGUGAGCUUCUGUCUCAUGUUGCCACUCUGUAAGCUCAGAGUAUUGAUUUUUGCAAUGUGGUGCAGCCUUAGCUUGAAAAACAGGGACACAACUAAUGUUACCAGCGUAUGGUGGUGACUGUCAAUGCCAUACUGUGUGUCGCCGAUGUGCUCCCCGAGCAAAAACACAUCCUCUGAACCUAUCCUCUUCCGCACAAUGUAGAGGACCUCUAGCAGUUUGAUGGGCUGUGAUCGUCUGGAAUCUGCUGAUGCCUGGCGAAUGACCCACUCUGCUGCCCUGACGACCCUCACCGUGCCUUCAGACGGAAUCACCAGGCCUCCAUUGUUUCUUAGAGUCAGCAGGUGGUAGCUCUUGUCCUUACUGGCAGAUGCAGCGUCCGUCACCAGGCUGGCACGGCAGACAUCACAGGACAGCUUCUUCACCGUCCGUCGCACAACAAAUCCUGAAAUUAGAGAUCACUCACCUUACAACAGCUACCAUAGAACGUACCAGAAUAGUUGACCGUCACAAGAUGGCCGCCGGUGAACUACGCUGGAGACUCCGCCUUGCGCCAUCUACUGAUAUAUAUCUAUGGGGU